rnacentral:lncRNA from 1 species
CUUACAACUGUCAAUGCAUUCUAGUCAGUGCAGAAGGCUGUAUAACAGUCACUAAACAUAGUAAACAUGCUGCCAGAACGGAGACUAUGAAGAAGAAAGUUACACAGCGGCGACAAGAUAACUAAUUUUAGAUGCUAUAUGUACAUGUAUGUGUGUGAUAGCUCAGCGGUAAGGUGUUGGGCUCAUAACACCAAGAUCAAUCGAUCAAUACUCUUUAAAACACAAAAUUUAUUUAGUUUUUUCCUUUU